rnacentral:ribozyme from 1 species
UGCCCAGCAACUCCUAUCCUUACCUCCUCGCGGUACCGGCCGGAAACUAUGAGCAACCUUAGGGAAGAUCGGGUAACCAACCCCGAUGGGAGCUUUGGUCGUAGGCUAACAGGGAAGG